rnacentral:rRNA from 1 species
AGCAGCCGCGGUAAUUCCAGCUCCAAUAGCGUAUAUUAAAGUUGUUGCAGUUAAAAAGCUCGUAGUUGAAUUUCGGGAUCAAUUCGUCGGUCGUGCUUUUUUGGUACGUACUGGCGUUAUUGGUUUCUCCCUUCUGACGAACCAUGAUGUCAUUAAUUUGAUGUUAUGGGGGGUUAGGACUGUUACUUUGAAAAAAUUAGAGUGUUUAAAGCAGGCAUUAGCUUGAAUACAUUAGCAUGGAAUAAUGAAAUAGGACGUUCGAACCUAUUUUGUUGGUUUCUAGGAUCAACGUAAUGAUUAAUAGGGAUAGUUGGGGGCAUUAGUAUUCAAUUGUCAGAGGUGAAAUUCUUGGAUUUAUUGAAGACUAACUACUGCGAAAGCAUUUGCCAAGGAUGUUUUCAUUAAUCAAGAACGAAAGUUAGGGGAUCGAAGACGAUCAGAUACCGUCGUAGUCUUAACCAUAAACUAUGCCGACUAGGGAUCGGAUGAUGUUAAUUUUUAAUGACUCAUUCGGCGCCUU